UCUCCGUAGGUGAACCUGCGGAGGGAUCAUUACAGAGUUCAUGCCCUUCCGAAUAGAUCUCCCACCCUGUGUUAUCGUCACCUUUGUUGCUUUUUCGGGCCGCCCAGACCUUUGCCCGGCUACCGGCUCCGGCUGGUAAGCGCCCGCCAGAGGUUCCUAAACUCUUGAAUAUCAGUAUCGUCUGAGUACUAUGUAAUAGUUAAAACUUUCAACAACGGAUCUCUUGGUUCUG
rnacentral:misc_RNA from 1 species